UACGUAGGGGCUAGCGUUAUCCGGAAUUACUGGUCGUAAAGGGUGCGUAGGUGGUUUCUUAAGUCAGAGGUGAAAGGCUACGGCUCAACCGUAGUAAGCCUUUGAAACUGGGAAACUUGAGUGCAGGAGAGGAGAGUGGAAUUCCUAGUGUAGCGGUGAAAUGCGUAGAUAUUAGGAGGAACACCAGUAGCGAAGGCGGCUCUCUGGACUGUAACUGACGCUGAGGCACGAAAGCGUGGGGAGCAAACAGGAUUAGAUACCCGUGUGGUCCCUGAG
rnacentral:rRNA from 1 species